rnacentral:lncRNA from 1 species
UGUUAUCGCAUACGGAGGGGAAGAAGGAAUGUCAGAUCCACAAGAAGCAACCAUAGAAGAGGGACAACUUAGCACUGAAUGUUCUGAGGAUGAGAAAGCAAUCUGUUUGGAAGCGAAUCAUAAGUAAAAAAAAGCUUACAGUGCCAUGGAAGCCAUGAGAACGUCUGCUAAAUCCUUUACAAGACUGAAGGUGGCACACAGCAGAGGGAAGACACUUGAGAGUGAGCCUGCUAUGACAAUUUCUACAUCAUUCAAACUUCAGCAACUGUUUGGCAUCUGUUUGACAUUUCUUCAGGAUCUAUAGCCACAAUCUGUUCUUUUGAGAGCAAGCAUGGACAUUCUUGAACUGAAACAGUUUUCCAACCAACACUGCAGGGGGGCUUAAAAAAGAAAAGUCACUUAUCCCUUACAUAAUUAAGGGAAACUCACAAUGAGAAAAUCCUAACAAAUACUUCACUUUCAUACAAAAACUCCAAGGAAAGAAGAGCAGAUGAUUGAGUAUAGUCCACACCAAGAAACAAUCUUUAAGAGGAAUGAAAUGUUAGAUUACUUUCAAGGAUACCCUAAGCCAAUAUUACUGUAAAAAUGGCUGUGUCUUGUGCUAGCAUUCCAAAUUUAACUGGAAGCAGAAUUGUGCCACAGUGAUGUAACCGUUGCUGUAAAUACUUUAUAUUGGAGAAAUGAGUUAUUCGUAGCUAAUAAAAACAUGCAAAGACAGCACACUUUCCAGGUCAGCAUUACAUUUCACCCCUAAUUUUUCCUUUUUUCACACGCCCUGCACAUUUUUUUCUUUCUGGAGUCUGGAAUCCUUGGGAGAGAUGGUAGUCAGGCUCUACAUCAGCCCAAUAGUCUAAACUUGUCCUUUUUUUGGAAAAUGAGACCAAAGAGUUUAAUGAUUUACAAGACAACACCUCUGCUUGAGGCCUUCCUUCAGCUUUUAUUAACAAAAGGUGCACAUCUUUGGUGAGAGGCACCGCAGAGGCAUAUUUAACAGAAAGCAUCAAACAGAUGCAGUCUGGGGACUUCAUGUAUUACUCAUUUAGAAAUAGUUGAAAAGUCUAACUCUUAAAAAAAAACUUCAGCAUGUUAUGGCAAGCCAAACAAGAAAAAAACAAACAAACAAACAAAAAAAACCUGCAUUCUCUCAGGAAUCUGUCUAAGGAAGUUAUGGGUGUAACUUCAUCUCUCUUUGGCAUUGGUGAAAAUCCAUAGCAGGAAGUACUGCGGAAUGUCCCUGGGGAAACUUACAGAAACAAAAGCUAUAAAGUUAAAAGAAGUUAUAGAUAAGAGAACUGAUAUAAAUCCUUCGGAGAAAUGAAUCUCCUGUUAGGUUGAAAGUCUAGAAGACAGGUUUCCUCCUGGAAUUAACAGCUUAUUGCAGAAAAAGAAAUGAAACACUAUAGCAGUGAUGGGUUCCCCCAGAGUGAUUCUUGGGACUUCUCACUUGGAAAAGGAGCGAGAGGAAUUUUCUUUUCCCCAUGCUGAUAUUUUUUUUUUAGUUAUGGCUGCAAUGGCAAUUAAGGAGACAGAAAGAACUUAUAAGCCACAUGGGGAUAUAAUCAGGGUUCUGUGACUGACCACUCUUUUUACAGUUUGUAUAAGAUGUGCAAGACUCCACAACACGCCCACCUCACCACUGAUGGAUCCCAGUGCUGCUCGCACCACGAUGCCAUGAAAGCCCAUGCUCCCUGCUGGGAAGAUCCAGUCCCAGCAGACUUCAGACAACAUUCAAAGGAUUUGUGUGGUCUGGACUCUGAACCUAUUUUUCUAAGAGUUGGAGUUACCUGGUUGUCUACUAAGGAACAACAUUUUCAGAUUUUUGUCUGAGUAUUCAGUACAGAAUUCAUUGGAAUAAAAAAAAAGCAGAUAUGUGCUAAUAAAAAUUUCAAUGUCCAG